CAGCAGCCGCGGUAAUACGUAGGUCCCGAGCGUUGUCCGGAUUUAUUGGGCGUAAAGCGAGCGCAGGCGGUUAGAUAAGUCUGAAGUUAAAGGCUGUGGCUUAACCAUAGUACGCUUUGGAAACUGUUUAACUUGAGUGCAAGAGGGGAGAGUGGAAUUCCAUGUGUAGCGGUGAGAUGCGUAGAUAUAUGGAGGAACACCGGUGGCGAAAGCGGCUCUCUGGCUUGUAUCUGACGCUGAGGCUCGAAAGCGUGGGGCGCAAACAGGAUUAGAUACCCGAGUAGUCCCUGUCUCUUAUACC
rnacentral:rRNA from 1 species